UCCUUUCCUGGAAGAGGAAAUGGCUGGUUCUGUUGAAGUUCAUUCCCUUCUGUAUUAAUUCUGAGAGCAGCAACGUCUUCCCCUACAUUUAGGAUUUUUUUUCUCCUAACUAAAGAAAUGAACUCAGGUUAAUCAUCUCUGGCUCCUGCGAUGGUGAUUCAAGAUAAAAGAUCUCACCUCUGCAGGCACGUCCGAUCUUUGCGUCCCCUGGAUCAACUCAGAGAAAUUCACGGCUUGAUUCUGGGAAUGAAAACCCCUCAGGGGCACAUUUGAAAUUCCUAGUCCUUCACACGUCAGUCAUUACUGAUCACGGACCACUUGGCAUCUUGCGGUUUGAAAGCGUCACUUGAUUUCCCAAACUGGAUCUCAUAAUUCUAUUAGAUUUGCUCCGUUGACUAUGCAGUUAGGAAAGGUUACUUCUUUUCCCUUCUUAAAAUUUAAACCUGC